rnacentral:lncRNA from 1 species
AGCCACAGCCACAACCACAACCACAACCUCUGCCACAACCGCAGCCGCAACCACAGCCUUUACCGCUACCAGGCCCACAACCAUUACCGCAACCCGGCCCGCAGCCGAACCCAAACCCCCAACCGUUACCACAGCCAAACCCAAAUCCCCAGCCUUUACCUCAGCCAGACCCGAACGCUCCGCCGUUGCCUCUGCCGCAGCCUAACCCAAACAACCCGCAACCUCUGCCGCAGCCAGACCCUAACGCGCCAUCACUACCUCUGCCGCAGCCAGACCCAAACGCGCCACCACUGCCUCUGCCACAACCUGAUCCGAACGCGCCACCACAACCUUUGCCGCAACCAGACCCAAACAACCCUCAACCUUUACCGCAACCUGACCCUAACGCACCACCACAGCCUUUGCCGCAACCAGACCCUAACUCGCCGCCACAGCCUUUGCCGCAACCAGACCCGAACACGCCUCCUGGCCAACAAAUUAAUGCAAAGAUAUCAUCACAGCCGGAUUCUAUUGGUGGAGCCAGAACUUUAUAUCCAUACGGUGUAAU